CCGCCGCUGGGGCAGCCCCGGCCCGGCCGCUCCUGGGCGCGCAGCGGGGAAUUGCCCUGGCCAGGGGUCACGCGGCAGGCCUGCAGCUUACUGAAGUGACCCAAGAACACGCUGAAGAGCAAAGCACUCACUCACUAAAGAAGUUCUGCAAUUUGUUUCUAAAGUAUGAUUUUGGAAGAAGAGAAGAAGAAAUUCCAGCAAAAUCAGUAAUGGGGCUGGACAUCUCACAGAACGGCUCCCUCAGAAGAUCUGUUGCUGCUUUAUUUGGACCAGGAUGCAAACUUCAUGAGAAC